rnacentral:rRNA from 1 species
GACGAACGCUGGCGGCGCGCCUAACACAUGCAAGUCGAACGAGCGAGAGGAGGUUUCCUUUCUCAAGCGAGUGGCGAACGGGUGAGUAACGCGUGAGGAACCUGCCUCAAAGAGGGGGACAACAGUUGGAAACGACUGCUAAUACCGCAUAAGCCCACGACCCGGCAUCGGGUAGAGGGAAAAGGAGCAAUCCGCUUUGAGAUGGCCUCGCGUCCGAUUAGCUAGUUGGUGAGGUAAUGGCCCACCAAGGCGACGAUCGGUAGCCGGACUGAGAGGUUGAACGGCCACAUUGGGACUGAGACACGGCCCAGACUCCUACGGGAGGCAGCAGUGGGGAAUAUUGCACAAUGGGGGAAACCCUGAUGCAGCGACGCCGCGUGGAGGAAGAAGGUCUUCGGAUUGUAAACUCCUGUUGUUGAGGAAGAUAAUGACGGUACUCAACAAGGAAGAGACGGCUAACUACGUG